UACGUAGGGUGCGAGCGUUAAUCGGAAUUACUGGGCGUAAAGCGCGUGUAGGCGGCAACGCAAGUCGGGCGUGAAAUCCCACGGCUCAACCGUGGAAGUGCACUCGAAACUGCGUAGCUAGAGUCCUGGAGAGGAAGGUGGAAUGCUUGGUGUAGAGGUGAAAUUCGUAGAUAUCAAGCGGAACACCGGUGGCGAAGGCGGCCUUCUGGACAGUGACUGACGCUGAGACGCGAAAGCGUGGGGAGCAAACAGG
rnacentral:rRNA from 1 species